GUCCCUGUACAGUAAUUGAUAACACACACGUUGGACUUCUAAUCCAAAGGUCGUGGGUUCGAAUCCCACCAGGGAUA